rnacentral:rRNA from 1 species
GUAUAGUACUACAAGACGAGAAGACCCUUUGGAGCUUAAGGUACAGAAUUCAGCCACGUUAAGCAACUCCGUAAACAGCAAGAACUUAGUGGUCAUGAAAUUUUACCUUCGGUUGGGGCGACCGCGGAGGAAAAGCAAGCCUCCGAGUGGACUGGGCCGAGACCCUAAAGCCAAGAGAAACAUCUUCAAGCCGCAGAACAUCUGACCAAUAAUGAUCCGGCUAAAAAGCCGAUCAACGGACCAAGUUACCCUAGGGAUAACAGCG